rnacentral:rRNA from 1 species
AUGGAGAACCUUUUUUGUCUUCAAAAGAUGACUUUUGUUUCUUUGUUUUUGCUAUCCCUACGAGACUGGUUGGACAUCUCACUCAAUCAUGCCAUGCCAUCGUCCAUUCUCAUACUUUCAAGGACUUUUGUCAUAUAUGGGAGAAUAAAACCUGAGGAGGCUGUUGUAGCAAUAUUGUCUUCUCUACCAGAUGAGUUUGUACGGUAUUGCCAUCUAAAGAUUCAGUUUCUAAGAGGAGGAAAAAACUGGAAUUCCUUCAGAUGCAGGAAGAACUUAUCAAGGUGA